rnacentral:misc_RNA from 1 species
CGUUCCCGUUCCCUCCCCGAAAAGUAACCCCACUUUAGAUGAGCUCUGCAAGUGCAUCUAAAAGCAGCAGUGAACCGGAAUCGUCUCCCACGCGCCGCCUCUGAUCUGGCCAUGUUAUCGCGCGGUGGGUCCCACCUGGGCUCUUAUACCAUCCUUCAAAAUCCGAUCCUCUAGUAUUUUGAUCGCCGAACACCAGCAAAAACAUGGCCCAAAACUGCAAGGAAGAGCCAAAGACCGCUCCCCAAUCCGAUCGGUGGUACAAUCUAACCUUAGGCCCUUCCUUUAAAGAAGACGCCUCUAAUAAUAAGUACUGCACUCUGCGGUAU